rnacentral:misc_RNA from 1 species
CAACCCUCGCGACCAGCUUGCUGGAUGCGGUGUUGGGGAUCGGCCACCCGUAACUGGGAGGCCGUCCCCUAAAUAGAGUGGCGGUCCUGCUGUGACCUCCUCUGCGUAGUAGCAAUAUCUCGCAGGCGGAGAGCGGUUUGACCACGCCGUAAAACCCCCAACUCUUCUUUGG